rnacentral:lncRNA from 1 species
UUUUUUUUUUUUUUUUUUUUUUACAACUUCUAUACCACAAGCUAUGCUUAUAACAAGUCUAAUUUAUAUAGAGGUACCUUGGUUUUUGACCUCUGUGCACUGCCACAGUGCUGGAUUCCAAGAUAUCAGUUUCCUCUUAUUCAAAUAGAAGGAAUUUGUCAUUCUGGUACACCUGGACUUUUAACAUCAACACUGCCCAGGGUGACUCUGAAAAAACCUGGAAACAGUAGAAAGGACUGAUAUUGGAAGAAGCUAGAAACAGAAACAGACAAGGAAGAGGAAUUAUAAAAUAUUUGAGUGUUAGGUUUAGUUUACUUUUCUUCCCCAAAACUGCACUGAAAAAUUCUGGUCAAUAUGGAUUUAUCCUAUGAAUAUUUCUGCACCAGAGUAAAAAAAAAAAAAAAAAAAUUAAGCAUAGCACUUCAGACCAACUCCAGCUGAAACUUAGGAUGAACCUGAAUAUCUCUGGGUUUGCCUAACCUGUAUUCUUAAUGCUGUUUGUUCUAAGUCAGCAAACCCUCGUUUCUACAGGGUAUGUUUGAAUUUAAGUCCUAAUCCAUAUGAACGACAGCAAGAACACAUAAGAGCAGGAAUCAUAAAUCUAAAGCCUUUUAUUUUAUUUUUCAUUCCCUGAUAAUUCCAUAGCUCUAAGCAUUGUGGCUUCCACAGAAGGUAGCAGCACAUUGCCAGCAGCAUACCUAAUUAAUUCCUCCUCGCUUGUUCCAUGUGGCUUCCUUACCCCCCAUCCAACUGACCUAUUGGUUCUCUUCAAGAUAGACUAAAUUAAUGAUGGUAAAAUCAAGAAAGAAGUGAAUUAUUUAAUUCCAGAAAGUAUCAAAGCUUACAUGAUCCUAGCACUGAGUAGGCCAGAAGGAUCAGUCCAUGGCCUGGGGAUUGUUUUCUUGGGCUCCACCCAGAGUUUCCAUAAAAAUCAAUGGGAAUUUAGAGUGGUAUUCCGUGGGUGACCUUUUGAUUCUCAAGAGGUGCAUAACGCUUGGCAUUUACUCUGUGCAAUGUCUUUCAUGAGAAGGGCUCAAAAUGUCUCUCUACACAAGCCUCACAAUAUCCUCAAGGGGAAAGUAAGCAUUAUCCUCAUUUAAUUAAUGCACUGCCAAAGGCUAAAAUACGUACUAAAGGAGACUGAUCCUUCAAAGUGCACAGUUUGCUCAUAUUCUGGUGAAGAUGGUGGGGAGAUGAGCACCAAACUGGAUUAGCCUCCAAGACCAAGGUCAGUUUUCAUAUCAGAUAUUCUUGGCCAUCAUGCUUCAUCCAGUGUUUGUACUCAGUACCUUAACCCACUGCUGCAUCAAGAUACAAGUGACAGCAACAACAAGAAAUAUUUUAAACUGAUUGUUUGUGGUGGUAUAUGUCCAUAAUCUAUACAAUCCUGAAGCACACCGACCACUAUGGACCCUUUCUCCUGUCAAUCAGCACAGCACAGCAAACAGAAAGUCUCACUGGGAAGCCACCAAUGUGCACAGGACUUGGCUUUAUUCCUGCAUGAGCCAGGACUUGGCAUAUGGCCCUGAGUUAAGUCACCACUCUAAGAUCAUCUGUGCAACUCCUAUCUAUUACCCUGACGCUAAUUAUGAGUAUCUUGCUAUCAGCAAUGUGCUGCCUAAAAGCAAGUAAGCAGGAAGGGGAACUGAGCCAUAGACAAGCUAAGUAACUCCUAAAGUCAUGUAGGAUGUCUACUGUAGCCAGGGAAUUCAACAGAGUUGACUCAGGUCUUUGUGGAAUUGAAAUUCUCUCUAUUGGACCAUACGGAAAGAACAGAGAUGUAGACUUCCCCUUGCUUAUUCUCAUCUGCCAUCCACUCUUUCCUGCCUCCUUUAUGGUCAUAAAGCUGCUUAUUUUCAUUACAUCCUAAGCUCUUCCGGGCUUUCUGUACCUCUGAAGACUUGAUGGCUUGAUUGAGACUCAUAAUAAACAUGUAAGCAGGCAGAUCCCUAAAUUAGCCUGAAAAUCCUGAUAGAUGCAUUGUCAUAAGAAAGGAAAACAGCAGUGGCACUAAAGAAAACUUUGCCAUGAUGCAGACCAAGAACCAAGUGCUCAGAGUUGGAUUGAAACAACAUUUUUUUGUUGUUUUCCCUGCAAAACAGCUAUAAAGCAGAAUUAAGAUAGCAUGUCACUGAAAAUAGGCUCUCUCCUAUGGAGGAUAAUGCCUACCAUUAUCUUAGAACCAUUUGCUGCUCUAUAUUCAAAGAACUCCUGAGUCUCUACAAUAGGUGGCCUAAUUGCAAACAUUUGGUGUUAACAUUUGAUGACCAGAAGCAGAGCAACCCCAAGGUGUAUUUCAGAACAGUACGUAGGUUUUCUUUGCUCCAGGGGCUGUACAAGGCAUACAUUAGAAGGUGAUGAGCUAACUACAAUCUUCUUGGAAGGUUUUAUGACUGUACCAAGUUUAAAGAGUUGCUGCUAAAUGCACCUCAGACAGGCCCAGGUGUAAGACCAAGUCACCUAUAGGUACUCUGACAAAGUCACUUUGAACUGGAGAAUGAGGAUUUCAGGAUCUGAAGCUGAAUAAAAGUGGCAGUGAAGAGGAGGGACAACUCAGUAAGUCAACCUCCAGUUAUAAAACUACUGAGCAUGUGUGCUGGAGGUAACUGAGUGCAGCCUUGAAAAUGUUAGUGGUGGAGAAAUCCUAAACAUGACAGCCUGAUUAAUGCCAAAAGGCUUCUUCAAAACUUGAUUCUCCAGGUCUGUGUUUGUGUUGUGUUUGGCCACAAGUUCAGUUGCUAGUAAAGUAAAGGUUUUGUUGCAACAAAAUCUCAGCUCUGAGAACUUGCAAGUUGUUCAGGAAAGUAAUGAAAUUUUAAUAUUCAAUGUUUCUGGAAUGUUUGUGAGUUACUUUCUUUUAUUAUUAUUUAAAUUUGUAUUUUAUUUUAGUAAUUCUCUCUAAUCUUUUAUGCUUGGUACUGAAAGAUAUUUAGACAAAGUAUAUUUUGACAAAAGUUUUCUAUUUUUUUUUUUAAUCUAACAUAGUUUUCUAUUCCUUUUUUUUCUUUUUAAUCUAACAUUUCAUGAGCAGGCUACCAUAUUUAAACAGGGUUAAUACAUAGUGUUUAUGAAAGAAAAAGACUCAUGUAAGUCUUCUGUCAGAGUAUUCUCUUUCAUUUGUGGUUAGGUAUUCCUUAGUGUGUGCUCCAACCAAGAGCACAGUUAUAAGCCUAUAAACAACAUGACCCAUUAAAAUUCAACGCUAGCUACUAGUUAUAUAUUGUUACUUACUAUUUUCUUUAUUAUAUUA